rnacentral:rRNA from 1 species
UGGGUAGUCCGCACGAGCGCACCUUACUUUUAGUUGCUACCAUUUAGUUGGGCACUCUAAAAGAACUGCCAGUGAUAAGCUGGAGGAAGGUGGGGAUGACGUCAAGUCCUCAUGGCCCUUAUGUGUUGGGCUACACACAUGCUACAAUGGUAUUUACAGUGGGAUGCAAAGAGGCAACUCCAAGCCAACCCCUCAAAGAAUACCUCAGUUCGGAUUGUACUCUGCAACUCGAGUACAUGAAGCUGGAAUUACUAGUAAUCGCGGAUCAGCGUGCCGCGGUGAAUACGUUCCCGGGUCUUGUACACACCGCCCGUCACACCAUGGAAGUUGGUUACACCUUAAGGCAAAGUGUAAAACCUUUGACUACGGUACGAUCAGCGACUGGGGUGAAGUCGUAACAAGGUAGCCGUAGGGGAACCUGCGGCUGGAUCACCUCCUUUCU